rnacentral:rRNA from 1 species
UGGGGAAUAUUGCACAAUGGGCGCAAGCCUGAUGCAGCCAUGCCGCGUGUGUGAAGAAGGCCUUCGGGUUGUAAAGCACUUUCAGCGGGGAGGAAGGCGAUAAGGUUAAUAACCUUGUCGAUUGACGUUACCCGCAGAAGAAGCGCCGGCUAACUCCGUGCCAGCAGCCGCGGUAAUACGGAGGGUGCAAGCGUUAAUCGGAAUUACUGGGCGUAAAGCGCACGCAGGCGGUCUGUCAAGUCGGAUGUGAAAUCCCCGGGCUCAACCUGGGAACUGCAUUCGAAACUGGCAGGCUAGAGUCUUGUAGAGGGGGGUAGAAUUCCAGGUGUAGCGGUGAAAUGCGUAGAGAUCUGGAGGAAUACCGGUGGCGAAGGCGGCCCCCUGGACAAAGACUGACGCUCAGGUGCGAAAGCGUGGGGAGCAAACAGG